rnacentral:rRNA from 1 species
UGGGGAAUUUUGGACAAUGGGCGAAAGCCUGAUCCAGCCAUGCCGCGUGAGUGAAGAAGGCCUUCGGGUUGUAAAGCUCUUUUAGUCGGAAAGAAAGAGUUGCAAUGAAUAAUUGUGAUUUAUGACGGUACCGACAGAAAAAGCACCGGCUAACUACGUGCCAGCAGCCGCGGUAAUACGUAGGGUGCGAGCGUUAAUCGGAAUUACUGGGCGUAAAGGGUGCGCAGGCGGUCUUGCAAGUCAGAUGUGAAAGCCCCGGGCUUAACCUGGGAAUUGCGUCUGAAACUACAAGACUAGAGUGCAGCAGAGGGGAGUGGAAUUCCAUGUGUAGCAGUGAAAUGCGUAGAGAUGUGGAAGAACACCGAUGGCGAAGGCAGCUCCCUGGGUUGACACUGACGCUCAUGCACGAAAGCGUGGGGAGCAAACA